rnacentral:rRNA from 1 species
UACGUAGGGGGCGAGCGUUGUCCGGAGUUACUGGGCGUAAAGGGCAUGCAGGCGGUCCGACACGUUUUGUGUGACAGCGGGUGGCUUAACUACCCGAGGAUACGAAAGACGGUUGGACUUGAGGACUCGAGAGGGACACGGAAUUCCGGGUGGAGUGGUGAAAUGCGUAGAGAUCCGGAGGAACACCGAAGGCGAAGGCAGUGUCCUGGCGAGUGACUGACGCUGAGGCACGAAGGCCAGGGGAGCAAACGGG